GGCCUCGUAGCUCAGCUGGUAGAGCAUUCGCGUACAAAGCGUGGGUGGCGGUCAUGCGUGGGUUCGAAUCCAAUCGAGGCUA
rfam:Echinostoma caproni strain Egypt genome assembly, scaffold: ECPE_scaffold0019449